rnacentral:rRNA from 1 species
UACGUAGGCAGCAAGCGUUGUUCGGAGUUACUGGGCGUAAAGAGUGCGUAGGCGGUGCUCUAAGUUUGGUGUGAAAUCUCCCGGCUUAACUGGGAGGGUGCGCCGAGAACUGGAGUGCUUGAGUAUGGGAGAGGCAAGCGGAAUUCCUGGUGUAGCGGUGAAAUGCGUAGAUAUCAGGAGGAACACCUGUGGUGUAGACAGCUUGCUGGACCAUCACUGACGCUGAGGCACGAAAGCGUGGGUAGCAAACAGG